rnacentral:rRNA from 1 species
UCUGAACUCAGAUCACGNUAAGAUUUUAAAAGUCGAACAGACUUAAAAUUUAAACUACUGCACCUAAAUUUAUAUCUUAAUCCAACAUCGAGGUCGCAAUCUUUUUUAUCAAUAUGAACUCUCCAAAAAAAUUACGCUGUUAUCCCUAAAGUAACUUAAUUUUCUAAUCAUUAAAAAUGGAUCAAUUAUUCAUAAAUUAAUGAUUUAAAUUUUAAAAGUUAAUUAAAUUUUAAUAUCACCCCAAUAAAAUAUAUUUUUUUAUUAUAACAAAAUUAUUCUUUAAAAUUAAAAUAAUAAAUAUAUAAAGAUUUAUAGGGUCUUCUCGUCUUUUAAUAAUAUUUUAGCUUUUUGACUAAAAAAUAAAAUUCUAUUAUAGAUUUAAAUGAAACAGUUAAUAUUUCGUCCAACCAUUCAUUCCAGCCUUCAAUUAAAAGACUAAUGAUUAUGCUACCUUUGCACAGUUAAGAUACUGCGGCCAUUAAAUAAAUUCAUUG